CGAACGCUGGCGGCGUGCUUAACACAUGCAAGUCGUACGAGAGUUUUUAACUCUAGUGGCGGACGGGUGAGUAACACGUGAGAAUUUGCCUUUAGGAGGGGGAUGACAAUUGGAAACGAAUGCUAAUACCCCAUAUGCUUUCGAGUGAAAUGAAUUUUUUAUUUGCCUAAAGAGAAGCUCGCGGCUGAUUAGCUUGUUGGUAAGGUAAGAGCUUACCAAGGCGACGAUCAGUAUCUGGUUUGAGAGGACGAUCAGACACACUGGAACUGAGACACGGUCCAGACUCCUACGGGAGGCAGCAGUGGGGAAUUUUCCGCAAUGGGCGAAAGCCUGACGGAGCAAUACCGCGUGAGGGAAGAAUGCCUAUGGGGUUGUAAACCUCUUUUUUCAGGGAGGAAUAAAUGACGUGUACCUGAAGAAUAAGCAUCGGCUAACUCCGUGCCAGCAG
rnacentral:rRNA from 1 species